rnacentral:rRNA from 2 species
CAGAUGAGAAGCUUGCUUCUCUGAUGUUAGCGGCGGACGGGUGAGUAACACGUGGGUAACCUACCUAUAAGACUGGGAUAACUCCGGGAAACCGGGGCUAAUACCGGAUAAUAUAUUGAACCGCAUGGUUCAAUGUUGAAAGACGGUUUCGGCUGUCACUUAUAGAUGGACCCGCGCCGUAUUAGCUAGUUGGUAAGGUAACGGCUUACCAAGGCAACGAUACGUAGCCGACCUGAGAGGGUGAUCGGCCACACUGGAACUGAGACACGGUCCAGACUCCUACGGGAGGCAGCAGUAGGGAAUCUUCCGCAAUGGGCGAAAGCCUGACGGAGCAACGCCGCGUGAGUGAUGAAGGUCUUAGGAUCGUAAAACUCUGUUGUUAGGGAAGAACAAAUUUGUUAGUAACUGAACAAGUCUUGACGGUACCUAACCAGAAAGCCACGGCUAACUACGUGCCAGCAGCCGCGGUAAUACGUAGGUGGCAAGCGUUAUCCGGAAUUAUUGGGCGUAAAGCGCGCGUAGGCGGUUUCUUAAGUCUGAUGUGAAAGCCCACGGCUCAACCGUGGAGGGUCAUUGGAAACUGGGGAACUUGAGUGCAGAAGAGGAGAGUGGAAUUCCAUGUGUAGCGGUGAAAUGCGCAGAGAUAUGGAGGAACACCAGUGGCGAAGGCGGCUCUCUGGUCUGUAACUGACGCUGAUGUGCGAAAGCGUGGGGGAUCAAACAGGAUUAGAUACCCUGGUAGUCCACGCCGUAAACGAUGAGUGCUAAGUGUUACGGGGUUUCCGCCCCUUAGUGCUGCAGCUAACGCAUUAAGCACUCCGCCUGGGGAGUACGACCGCAAGGUUGAAACUCA